GGAACGCAGAUUAUUUAAGCUCAAACGCGAUGCGCUUAGAAUUAACUCGUCGAAACUUUUGGAUAAUUUCAUUUUGUCAGCGCGUUUUUUUUUUAGUUGCACUGCAACAGCUGAGUUGCUCAUGAUUUACAAUGGAAUGGAGCACAAUAAAGACUAGAUACACGUAAUUAAAGAGAGCAA